CGGCAACAGCUCAAAUUUGAAAUCUGGCCUCUUUUGGGGUCCGAGUUGUAAUUUGUAGAGGAUGUUUUGGGUACCGCACUGGUUUAAAUUUCUUGGAACAGAAUGUCAGAGAGGGUGAGAAUCCCGUCUU
rnacentral:rRNA from 1 species